GCAUUUACAAAGUAUGUCGGGGUCCUACCGUCGUCAUGUGGUCAGUUUUUAUGCUGAGAAGAAUCAGUGUAAAGCUCAAAGAACGAGCUAUACGAGUGUUAAGCCUCUCGACAUUGAAAACGUAAAUGUGCAGAGAUGGUGCAGUAUUUGUGCGGAAUCUGUCUCCUAGGAUAUUUUAGGGUCUGCCUGUUCAUAUCAAUGUUCUUUGUUCGGGUCCUGCUUAGGUCAUUAACAACAUUACUAACCACUGUUAGCAAAUUUUUUAAGCAAUUUGUUUUUGCAGUGAAUACAAGGGUGCCUAUGCUACAACUCUUCCCGAAGAAAGGCAGAGAGAGAGACACACUAAUGACCUUAGCGGUAGCUUACUACAAGCUGCAACUCACAGAAGAGCAACUAUUACGAAUAUCUUU